UUGAAAAGAUUACCUGACUAAUAUAUUUUGUACGGUUACUGUACUAUAUCAUACGCCUUUUCAAAACGAAUGUUAUAUUUUUCCGACGUGCGAAUUUCACCCCGUCGAUCCCUAAAUUAAUUAUACAAUAACCGUCCGAUACAAGUACGUCUCAACUCAUGUACGUAAUUGAAAUGUACACUUCCCUAAUCGUAUUUCAUCCGUCUAAUAGUAUACUGCCCUAACUGAAUAAACCGUUAGA